rnacentral:rRNA from 1 species
GACGAACUGUUCUAACGUUAUUCGGAAUCACUGGGCUUAAAGGGCGCGUAGGCGGUUUGACAAGCGGGGUCUGAAAUCCCUCGGCUCAACCGAGGAACUGGGCUCCGAACUGUCGGACUAGAGUGAAGCAGGGGCAAGCGGAACUUGCGGUGGAGCGGUGAAAUGCUUUGAUAUCGCAAGGAACACCGGCGGCGUAAGCGGCUUGCUUGGCUUUAACUGACGCUCAAGCGCGAAAGCUAGGGUAGCGAAC